AAGAGAGGCAAGAAAGGAAAAGGAGGGGAAAGGUGAGAAGGAGGAGGAGGAAGCCCGCGAGAAAGUCAAUAUCAUAUGUAGUAUGUUGAAUUUUUAUUUUGUGUUUGUUUUUGUGUUUUUCCUUCUGCUUCGCAUCUUAUAU
rnacentral:ribozyme from 1 species